GUUCAGGCGUCACAUUACUGCCAGGCCAUUGGCACCAUCUGCUCAUUUAAGUGUCCGUUGAUGAGAGGACAGAGGACGCCUGGUGACCGUGAAGUCAGCCCAAUACAGUGAAGGAAAUCAGCAAAGUGGAAAUAGAAGCUCAUUACGGAAACUGUUAGGAUCAGCAUUCAGCUCGGAUUCCAGGUGGUAAACCUCUUCCGUCUUUCCACUUCCUGCCAGGCCUCAUUUCCCAUUACCUU
rnacentral:lncRNA from 1 species